AGAGACUUAGGCUAACCUAGACCAAGGGCCUUCAAAGCCCUAAGUGGGAGUGAAAACCUCCCAGUCCCUG
rnacentral:tRNA from 1 species